CCUACGGGAGGCAGCAGUGGGGAAUAUUGGGCAAUGGAGGCAACUCUGACCCAGCAACGCCGCGUGAAUGAUGAAGGUCUUCGGAUUGUAAAGUUCUGUGAUGGGGGAUGAACACAAUGACGGUACCCCACUAGCAAGCCACGGCUAACUACGUGCCAACAGCCGCGGUAAUACGUAGGUGGCAAGCGUUAUCCGGAAUGACUGGGCGUAAAGGGUGCGGAGGUGGUUUAGUAAGUUGGCGGUGUAGUUCCGGGGCUCAACCUCGGCGCUACCGCCAAAACUAUUAGACUAGAGUGCAGGAGGGGUGAGUGGAAUUCCUAGUGUAGCGGUGGAAUGCGUAGAGAUUAGGAGGAACAUCAGUGGCGAAGGCGACUUACUGGACUGUAACUGACACUGAGGCACGAAAGCGUGGGGAGCAAACAGGAUUAGAUACCCUUGUAGUC
rnacentral:rRNA from 1 species